UAGUCCUCGAGAAAUUCAGAGCUGUGGUGGGACAGAGCAAGGAAGCCUUCGGCCUGAAGGAGCUGGUCGCGUGGCGCCCCAGCAGCAUUUACCACAGGACUGAUCCAUCGCUGCUGUUGUGUCCAGCACUACAAGCUGCUG